rnacentral:rRNA from 1 species
CCUACGGGAGGCUGCAGUGGGGAAUAUUGCGCAAUGGAGGGAACUCUGACGCAGCAACGCCGCGUGAAGGAUGAAGGUUUUCGGAUUGUAAACUUCUUUGAUCGGGGACGAAAUUGACGGUACCCGAGGAACAAGCCACGGCUAACUACGUGCCAGCAGCCGCGGUAAUACGUAGGUGGCAAGCGUUGUCCGGAAUUACUGGGUGUAAAGGGCGUGUAGGCGGGAAGGCAAGUCAGAUGUGAAAGCCCAUGGCUUAACUGUGGAAUUGCAUCUGAAACUGUUUUUCUUGAGUGCUGGAGAGGAAAGUGGAAUUCCUAGUGUAGCGGUGAAAUGCGUAGAGAUUAGGAGGAACACCAGUGGCGAAGGCGGCUUUCUGGACAGUAACUGACGCUGAGGCGCGAAAGCGUGGGGAGCAAACAGGAUUAGAUACCCGAGUAGUC